AAACUUGCCACCUACUUCACAAUGUGUUAGCAUCGCAGAUGCUGGUUUUUCUGGCUAUGGCAAUAAACGAUUCACGUAAUAGGUAUUGUGGACCCGGGGGCGGUACCCGGCGCCUUCACCAUAAAGUUGUAUGGGGGCGAAAAAGGUUCGACAUGAUACGGCAAAGGUGUAUUUUUUGCCCGGCAUUGUACCACCGUUAUCGGGCUAUAUUAGUAAAUGCCAACUCUAAAAGAAGGCAGGGAAGAACGCGUCAGCUGAAUAGGCAAAUACGCGUUGCAAGAAGAAGGAGAAGGUUACCGUUGGCUGCCUGAUUAGGGGUCAGCGGUUCUAAUUCUUGCUUAUUACACAGUUAUGUGUAAUAUCUUCGAAUAACGCGGUUUGGGGCGACCGAGCAACAGAACGCCCCGUGU
rnacentral:tmRNA from 1 species